rnacentral:rRNA from 1 species
AAUAUCAACUCCGCUUGAUCCUGGCGGACCCAACUGCUAUCGGGGUGAGAUUAAGCCAUGCGAGUUGUGCGUUCCUUGGCUAUGUUAGGGACGCAGCACACGGCUCAGUAACAUGUGGUUAACCUACCCUCAGGACAGUAACAACCCCGGGAAACUGGGGCUAAUUUCUGAUAGAUGAGGAAGUCUGGAAUGACUCUUCGUUUAAAGGGUAUUGAGGACAUGCCUCUCAGUAUUGCCUGAGGAUGGGACCGCACCCGAUCAGGUUGUUGGUGAGGUAAAGGCUCACCAAGCCUAUGACCGGUACGGGCCUUGAGAGAGGUAGCCCGGAGAUGGGCACUGAGACAAGGGCCCAGGCCCUACGGGGCGCAGCAGGCGCGAAACCUCCGCAAUGCACGAAAGUGUGACGGGGUCACCCCGAGUGCCAUCCGCUGAGGGUGGCUUUUGCUCGGUGUAAUGAGCCGAGUGAAUAAGGGGUGGGCAAGUCUGGUGUCAGCCGCCGCGGUAAUACCAGCACCUCAAGUGGUCAGGACGAUUAUUGGGUCUAAAGCGUCCGUAGCCGGCCGGAAAAGUUCACCGUUAAAUCCGACGAUUCAAUCGUCGGGCUGCGGAGAAUACUCUUCGGCUUGGGGGCGGGGGAGGUCGGCGGUAGUCCCGGGGUAGGGGCGAAAUCCUAUAAUCCCGGGAGGACCACCAGUGGCGAAGGCGGUCGACUAAAACGCGCCCGACGGUGAGGGACGAAAGCUGGGGGAGCGAACGGGAUUAGAUACCCCGGUAGUCCCAGCUGUAAACAAUGCAGGCUAGGUGUCGGGAUGGCUACGGGCCAGCUCGGUGCCGCAGGGAAGCCAUUAAGCCUGCCACCUGGGAAGUACGGUCGCAAGGCUGAAAUCCGGAAAGGCUUACAAUGUUCAGUGCUAACUGAGAUCAAAUUAAGAUAAUUCGAGGGCGCGCGCGUCCUUGGCAUAAAAUCAAUUGUUCUUGACUGAGCUUUUUGGUUCAGUAUUUUAUCGAUGGUGAGUCUUCCUGACAGCAUACUUAAAGGAAUUGGCGGGGGAGCACCACAAGGGGUGAAGCUUGCGGUUUAAUUGGAGUCAACACCGGGAAUCUUACCAGGAGCGACAGCUGGAUGAAAGUCAGAUUAAAGGUCUUACUGGACUAGCUGAGAGGAGGUGCAUGGCCGUCGCCAGUUCGUGCCGUGAGGUGUUCUCUUAAGUGAGACAACGAACGAGACCCGUGCCUCUAGUUGCCAUCGGGUUCCUUCGGGAAUCCAGGCACACUAGGGGGACUGCUUCCGCUAAGGAGGAGGAAGGAGCGGGCCACGGCAGGUCAGUAUGCCCCAGAUCUCCUGGGCCACACGCGAGCUGCAAUGGUUGGGACAAUGGGUUCCGACCCCGAGAAGGGAAGGUAAUCCCUAAACCCAGCCUCAGUUGGGAUCGAGGGCUGCAACUCGCCCUCAUGAACAUGGAAUCCCUAGUAACCGCGUGUCAUUAUCGCGCGGUGAAUACGUCCCUGCUCCUUGCACACACCGCCCGUCGCUCCACCCGAGUUUGGUUUGGGUGAGGCAUGGUCUAGUUGGCCAUGUCGAACCUAAGUUAGACAAGGGGGGAAAAGUCGUAACAAGGUGACCGUAGGGGAACCUGCGGUCGGAUCACCUCCUUAGAAA